rnacentral:rRNA from 1 species
UACGUAGGGCGCGAGCGUUGUCCGGAAUUAUUGGGCGUAAAGAGCUCGUAGGCGGUUUGUCGCGUCGGUUGUGAAAACCCAAGGCUCAACCUUGGGCCUGCAAUCGAUACGGGCAGACUAGAGUACUGCAGGGGAGACUGGAAUUCCUGGUGUAGCGGUGGAAUGCGCAGAUAUCAGGAGGAACACCGGUGGCGAAGGCGGGGUCUCUGGGCAGUAACUGACGCUGAGGAGCGAAAGCGUGGGGAGCGAACAGG